rnacentral:rRNA from 1 species
CGCUGGCGGCGUGCUAACACAUGCAAGUCGAACGUGAAAUGGGGCAACCCAAAGUAAAGUGGCGCACGGGUGAGUAAUACGUAGGUAAUCUCCCUCAAAGCUCGGAAUAACCUGCCGAAAGGCGGGCUAAUACCGAAUAGAGCGAAGAUGUUGUAAAGAUAUUUUCGGGAAAGGGAGCUCGCAAGAGCCCUCACUUUGAAAUGAGCCUACGUCCCAUUAGCUAGUUGGCAGGGUAAUGGCCUACCAAGGCGAUGAUGGGUAGCUGGUCUGAGAGGAUGAUCAGCCACACUGGAACUGAAACACGGUCCAGACUCCUACGGGAGGCAGCAGUGGGGAAUAUUGCGCAAUGGGCGAAAGCCUGACGCAGCGACGCCGCGUGAGUGAAGAAGGCCUGCGGGUUGUAAAGCUCUGUCGAGUGGGACGAACAACCGAUUUGUGAAUAGCAAGUCGGCCUGACGGUACCACUAAAGGAAGCACCGGCUAACUCUGUGCCAGCAGCCGCGGUAAUACAGAGGGUGCAAGCGUUGCUCGGAAUUAUUGGGCGUAAAGGGCA